GACGUAGGGCGCGAGCGUUGUCCGGAUUUAUUGGGCGUAAAGAGCUCGUAGGCGGCUUGUCGCGUCGUCCGUGAAAACCUGGGGCUCAACUCCAGGCUUGCGGUCGAUACGGGCGGGCUAGAGUUCGGUAGGGGAGACUGGAAUUCCUGGUGUAGCGGUGAAAUGCGCAGAUAUCAGGAGGAACACCGGUGGCGAAGGCGGCAUCCUGGACCGGCAUUGACGCUGAGGAGCGAAAGCCAGGGGAGCAAACGGG
rnacentral:rRNA from 1 species